UACAGAGGGGGCAAGCGUUGUUCGGAAUUACUGGGCGUAAAGGGCGCGUAGGCGGCCUUCUAAGUCGAACGUGAAAUCCCCGGGCUCAACCCGGGAACUGCGUCCGAUACUGGAAGGCUUGAAUCCGGGAGAGGGAUGCGGAAUUCCGAGUGUAGAGGUGAAAUUCGUAGAUAUUCGGAGGAACACCAGUGGCGAAGGCGGCUCACUGGUCCGGUACUGACGCUGAGGUGCGAAAGCGUGGGGAGCAAACAGG
rnacentral:rRNA from 1 species